GGGGUAAAGUUGGGGUAAACCACUUUCGGAAAGCCUGAAAACCUCGCAAUCACUACAUUCUCUUCAGAUUCCGGUUCUGAGGGUCGGGGGUUCGAAUCCCUCCAUGCUCG
rnacentral:tRNA from 1 species